GUAGUGAACCGCUGCGGCGUGUCUAAUACAUGUAGUCGAACGGACUGCAGCGAUGUAGUGAGUGGCGAACGGGUGAGUAGCGCGUGGGUGACCUGCCCCGAAGCGGGGGAUAACAGUUCGAAAGGGCUGCUAAUACCGCAUGAGUUCAUGGGCGUUAGAGAACCAUGAAAAAAGGAGCAAUCCACUUUGGGAGGGACCUGCGACCCAUCAGCUAGUUGGUAAGGUAACGGCCUACCAAGGCGACGACGGGUAGGGGACCUGAGAGGGUGGCCCCCCACACUGGCACUGAAACACGGGCCAGACACCUACGGGUGGCAGCAGUAGGGAAUAUCGCACAAUGGGCGCAAGCCUGAUGCAGCAACGCCGCGUGCGCGAUGAAGGCCUUCGGGUCGUAAAGCGCUUUUCUGGAGGAGGAGGAAGGACCGUACUCCAGGAAUAAGUCUCGGCUAACUACGUGCCAGCAGCCGCGGUAAAACGUAGGAGACAAGCGUUAUCCGAAUUUACUGGGCGUAAAGCGCGUGCAGGUGGUUAGGUAAGUGGAAUGUGAAAUCUCCUGGCUCAACUGGGAGAGGCUGUUCCAAACUGCCUGGCUAGAGGGCGGUAGAGGGAGGUGGAAUUCCCGGUGUAGUGGUGAAAUGCGUAGAUAUCGGGAGGAACACCUGUGGCGAAAGCGGCCUCCUGGGCCGCACCUGACGCUCAGACGCGAAAGCUAGGGGAGUGAACGGGAUUAGAAACCCCGGUAAUCCUAGCUGUAAACGAUGUGGACUGGUGUCGGUGGGGUAAAAGCCAUCGGUGCCGAAGCCAACGCGAUAAGUCCACCGCCUGGGGACUACGGCCGCAAGGUUA
rnacentral:rRNA from 1 species